UUGCGCAAUUUGCCAAACGUGCAACAUGCAGUCGAGCGGUAGCACAGAGAGCUUGCUCUCGGGUGACGAGCGGCGGACGGGUGAGUAAUGUCUGGGAAACUGCCUGAUGGAGGGGGAUAACUACUGGAAACGGUAGCUAAUACCGCAUAACGUCGCAAGACCAAAGUGGGGGACCUUCGGGCCUCAUGCCAUCAGAUGUGCCCAGAUGGGAUUAGCUAGUAGGUGGGGUAACGGCUCACCUAGGCGACGAUCCCUAGCUGGUCUGAGAGGAUGACCAGCCACACUGGAACUGAGACACGGUCCAGACUCCUACGGGAGGCAGCAGUGGGGAAUAUUGCACAAUGGGCGCAAGCCUGAUGCAGCCAUGCCGCGUGUGUGAAGAAGGCCUUCGGGUUGUAAAGUACUUUCAGCGGGGAGGAAGGCGAUAAGGUUAAUAACCUUGUCGAUUGACGUUACCCGCAGAAGAAGCACCGGCUAACUCCGUGCCAGCAGCCGCGGUAAUACGGAGGGUGCAAGCGUUAAUCGGAAUUACUGGGCGUAAAGCGCACGCAGGCGGUCUGUCAAGUCGGAUGUGAAAUCCCCGGGCUCAACCUGGGAACUGCAUUCGAAACUGGCAGGCUAGAGUCUUGUAGAGGGGGGUAGAAUUCCAGGUGUAGCGGUGAAAUGCGUAGAGAUCUGGAGGAAUACCGGUGGCGAAGGCGGCCCCCUGGACAAAGACUGACGCUCAGGUGCGAAAGCGUGGGGAGCAAACAGGAUUAGAUACCCUGGUAGUCCACGCCGUAAACGAUGUCGAUUUGGAGGUUGUGCCCUUGAGGCGUGGCUUCCGGAGCUAACGCGUUAAAUCGACCGCCUGGGGAGUACGGCCGCAAGGUUAAAACUCAAAUGAAUUGACGGGGGCCCGCACAAGCGGUGGAGCAUGUGGUUUAAUUCGAUGCAACGCGAAGAACCUUACCUGGUCUUGACAUCCACAGAACUUUCCAGAGAUGGAUUGGUGCCUUCGGGAACUGUGAGACAGGUGCUGCAUGGCUGUCGUCAGCUCGUGUUGUGAAAUGUUGGGUUAAGUCCCGCAACGAGCGCAACCCUUAUCCUUUGUUGCCAGCGGUCCGGCCGGGAACUCAAAGGAGACUGCCAGUGAUAAACUGGAGGAAGGUGGGGAUGACGUCAAGUCAUCAUGGCCCUUACGACCAGGGCUACACACGUGCUACAAUGGCAUAUACAAAGAGAAGCGACCUCGCGAGAGCAAGCGGACCUCAUAAAGUAUGUCGUAGUCCGGAUUGGAGUCUGCAACUCGACUCCAUGAAGUCGGAAUCGCUAGUAAUCGUAGAUCAGAAUGCUACGGUGAAUACGUUCCCGGGCCUUGUACACACCGCCCGUCACACCAUGGGAGUGGGUUGCAAAAGAAGUAGGUAGCUUAACCUUCGGGAGGGCGCUGUGACGCGGACUGUGGCUUGU
rnacentral:rRNA from 1 species